AAGUCGUAACAAGGUUUCCGUAGGUGAACCUGCGGAAGGAUCAUUAUUGAGUAUUGAGAGUGUUCUUGUCUGGUCACCCGACUGGCAGCGCUCUUCUUCUCUCUACCCUUUAUUAUUUCUUAACCAGUUGCUUUGGCAGUUGUCGGUUGAUGGCUGUCAAGGGACCUUUUGAAACCCUUUGCAAUCUAAUAGUAGAUAAUUCUUAUGUCUGAUUUUUAAUUAAUAGUAUUUAAAACUUUCAACAAUGGAUCUCUUGGUUCUG
rnacentral:misc_RNA from 1 species